AGCAGCCGCGGUAAUUCCAGCUCCAAUAGCGUAUAUUAAAGUUGUUGCAGUUAAAAAGCUCGUAGUUGAAUUUCGGGAUCAAUAUGUUUGGUCGUGCCUCGGUACGUACUAGCUUAUUGGUUUCUCCUUUCUGAAGAACCAUGAUGUCAUUCAUUUGGUGUCGUGGGGAAUCAGGACUGUUACUUUGAAAAAAUUGAGUGUUUAAAGCAGGCUCACGCUUGAAUACAUUAGCAUGGAAUAAUGAAAAUGGACGUUUGAUUCUAUUUUGUGGUUUCUAGGAUCGACGUAAUGAUUAAUAGGGAUAGUUGGGGGCAUUAGUAUUCAAUUGUCAGAGGUGAAAUUCUUGGAUUU
rnacentral:rRNA from 1 species